rnacentral:sRNA from 1 species
AACAAAUUGAUAUAACAUUCAAACGGGUUGUCAAUCUCUUCUGGUUUGACAACAUUUAUUUCUCUCUUCAUGCCAGGUAAACCUUUACAUGUCCUAUAAACAAGAUCAAGGUACUCGCCAGGUAACCCUUAAUGAUGUGGCAGUUAAGUUGCAUCAUAUUUGCAAACGCUGUUUUCCAAUGCAUUCCUCAAACACAGAUCCGUACCGGAGACACGUGGAUUGUCGACGAGGGGCUUACUUCCGGUGGAUCUGGCUUUGUGUCCGAUUCGGAGUGUUAUCCCGGGCUCUAAACUUAAACAGAAUUCCAAACGGAACUACCAGACAGAGUACUGUAUCAACGGACCCCGGACCGUCAGUGUUUUAUUCAGAGUAUGAAGGAUUCCAGCCCAUUACUUUAUCGGUCAAUGAUCAGGACUCUUGUUACGUUAGAAUUAAAUCAGAGUUCGAUAGAUCCUAUCCAAGACUACCUAGGUUAAACCCAGAUGUUUCGUCACGAAAUUCUCUAUCGGAUCCUGUUCCUAGCCGAGUUUCCCAACUUCCGACCGGGAUUUCCCCAAUAUAUUUACUGUCUGAGACAACAAAUCCCAUUGCGUACGUUCCAUACAGACUCCAAAACAAGGGCGCCCCGCUUAGAGUUCCUUUUGACAGAGAAACGAGAAGAUUGGCAUAUCCCGAAUUUCCUCUUCUUUUACCUUAUACACAACUUUCAAUCAAUGACUCGUCUGAGAAUAGAAAAUAUGUCAUUUACAUUCCUUUUCAGCCCAAUAGUAACGUGUUCCGAAGCAGAUGCCCCGCUGUAUCAGUUCCUGUCAUAUUUCGGAAGGGCGAGUUCCCGAAAUAUGCACCUUAUAGAGUCGUCCUUGACAGCGAGCAGCCAAGAAUAACAACUGUGCUUCUGUGAAAUUAGAAAUGAAGAUGAGACUUUGCCAUAUUGUUCUCUUUAUAGUACUAUGCAGCAACAUA